CACUACCUUGGCGAACGCCGAGGAUGUCGGUUUCAUUCGAGUUGAAGCGAUCGCAAAGCCGAUCGAGGUUCAGAUUCUCGGUGAUGAC
rnacentral:tRNA from 1 species